AGGCUUGCAGUUGCUGCUGGAGGCCCCCCGCAUCCUGGACGGAGGCAGCCGAAGCUAGGCGAGCGGGAAGGCCCUGGCUCUGCCAGUCUUGCGGCUGGAUCGUCUGAGUUCGUGGCCCGGUCUCAUCGUCGUCCGGCUCAUCAAGCCGCUCGGUCAGAGGGAUCGUCUUUUCGGCCCCAAGUUUCAGCGCCUUCCUCUGCUUUUGCUCUUCAGAGGUCCUUGGAGGAUGCUGGGUUUCCUCCUCCGGGGAGGCGAGCCUCGUGUCUCCUUCCUCGAGGUUUCCCGCAGAGUUGCGGUGUCUCUCCGAGCUGGAGUUGCCGGUCUCUCCUUCUCGGGUGGUCCGGUCGCCCGAAUGGCUUCCGUCUCCGUUCUCCCCGAGUCGGGUAAGUCUGGCAGCUUUUGCGUCCCCUUCCUCAGCACACCUCUGGUGAAGUCAGAGAGGUGUGCGGGGAGGGAAGCCACGCUGCCGCCCACUCGCCCCAGGGAAUGGCCUAAGCCGGAGCCGAGGCCGGGCGGCCAAACCAGGAGGCCAUGCUGCGGGUCACAGCACUGACCUGGUGCGCUCCGCGAAGAGCGUCCAGCCCAGUCGGACAGCCCCGCCAAGUGUCAGGGCCCCGGCGGCUGCGCGAGGCUAGAGUCAAAUCACAGCCAGGCGCUGCUAGGCAACGGCGGGCUGGCGGCCUGGGGGCGGGGCCUGGGCGGGGCUGGGGCGGGGCCUGGGCGGGGCCUGGGCGGGCGCGGGCUCCAACCGUUGGGCUCGGGGCUCCCAGGGGAGGGGAGGGGCUGCCCGCAACCGCGAGGCCUGCCGCCUGGCCCUCACCCAUGGCCACCUCCUGACACGCGUGCCCCGCUCCGCCCCCUCCACCCCCACCGCCAGCCCCGUGGGCCUCCGCUCAUCCCCAGGGCUUCCCACCACGGCGGUGGGCCCCCUCUCCCUCUGCUUCAGUGCCGCCCCCGGGGCCAGGCGGCCCUCCUGCCCCCUGGGGCCGCCCGCCAGGAACGCCGCGCUGAAGGCCGCCAUCCCCACACCACCGCCACCUGUGCGCGUGGCAGCGCGUGUGGGCAGAAAGGACCCCAGGGUCUGACUGCCGCCAAGCGCCUCCCACGCUCCCUCCUGUCCUGCGGCCGGGAUCUUCCCAGCCGGCUUGGAGAACACUCGGAGGGCCAAGGGAAGCGAUGGGACCACACACAAACUCAGGUCCGGGUACCCGAUUUCGCAGCCAAGCCAAUCAGUGAGAAGUCAGGGUUGCAGCAAGGAAAGAGGUUUAUGAUCAAGAGGCGGCCAGACAAGGAGGUGCGACUGUCACUCGUAUUUCUUCGUGGGUCCACAAGUGCGAGGUCAGUGGGGUUCGACGCGUUGCACGCCGAGGAUCUCUGUCCGUGACGCGGAAAGUGGGCGAUCCGUCAUUUCGGCUGGUCCAAGCCUCUGCACGAUGUCCGCUCGGGCGGGGUCCGGGGGGGCUGCCAUCAAGCUGCUCUCUGAUCUGCCGUCUUCCUGUUGUUCUGCAAAACAACCUCAGAAACUUUGGUUCCUUUCUCGCCCACGUCCACCCCUGUGGGGGCCGGGCACCGUGUUGUCAGUAACGGCAGGGUUUUCCUCUUGGGUCACCCUCCCAACAGUGUGGAGGAUGGGUUCAAGCGGGGAGGGGGGGGUGCGGUGUGCCAGGAGGCCAGCCGGCAAGAUCAGUAAGGAGUCUACUGGGCUGGUUGCGUGCAAGAGACAGGAAGGCAUGUGGCAGAGCAGCGGGGACGGCAAA
rnacentral:lncRNA from 1 species